GACGAACGCUGGCGGCGUGCUUAACACAUGCAAGUCGAGCGGUAAGGCCCUUUCGGGGGUACACGAGCGGCGAACGGGUGAGUAACACGUGGGUGACCUGCCCUUAGCUCUGGGAUAAGCCUGGGAAACUGGGUCUAAUACCGGAUAUGACUCCAUGACGCAUGUUGUGGGGUGGAAAGCCUUGUGCGGCUGAGGAUGGGCCCGCGGCCUAUCAGCUUGUUGGUGGGGUGAUGGCCUACCAAGGCGACGACGGGUAGCCGGCCUGAGAGGGCGAUCGGCCACACUGGGACUGAGACACGGCCCAGACUCCUACGGGAGGCAGCAGUGGGGAAUCUUGCGCAAUGGGCGAAAGCCUGACGCAGCGACGCCGCGUGAGGGAUGACGGCC
rnacentral:rRNA from 1 species